GACAGAGGUCCCGAGCGUUAGGCGGAAUCACUGGGCUUAAAGCGUGUGUAGGCGGAUCGUUAAGUACCUUGUGAAAUCCCACGGCUUAACCGUGGAACUGCUUGGUAUACUGGCGAUCUUGAGCCACUUAGGGGCUACCGGAACAAAUGGUGGAGCGGUGAAAUGCGUAGAUAUCUGGAGGAACACCGGUGGCGAAGGCGGCAUCCUGGACCGGCAUUGACGCUGAGGCGCGAAAGCCAG
rnacentral:rRNA from 1 species